rnacentral:sRNA from 1 species
GAAUGAAUGAAUGAAUGAAUGAGAUGACGCCUCAGAGAUUCUUUCUUUUGAGAUGAGGUCUCAUUCUGUCAUCCAAACUAGAGUGCGUGGUGCAAUCAUAGCUCACCACAGCCUCAACCUCCUGGGCCUCCCAAGUAGCUGGGAUCACAGGUGUGCACCAACAUGCCCAGCUAAUUUUUUUUUUUUAUUUUUAAUUUGUACAGACAGGGUCUUGCUGUGUUGCCCAGGCUGGUAGGCUGGUCUUGAACUCCUGGGCUCAAGUGGUCCUCCCACCUAAGCUUUCCCAAAUACUGGGAUUAUAGGUGUGAGCCACUGUGCCCAGGCUUGCCUCAGAUAUUUGAAGGCUGGGAAGGAUUUUGCAAAGCUGGGAAAAGGAAAAGGCAUUCCCAGCAGAGGGGAUAGCAGGUGGAAAUGCAUAAUUAAAAAAAAAAAAAAAGUGGAGCAGAUCCAGUGCAGUGGCUCAUGCCUGUAAUCCCAGCACUUUGGGAGGCAGAGCAGGGAGGAUUGCUUGAGGCUAGGAGUUCAAGACCAGCCUGGGUAACACAGAAAGACCCUGUCUCUACAAAAACAUAAAAAAUUAGCCAGGCGUGGUGGUGCGUGCCUGUAGUACCAGCUACUCGAGAAGCUGAGGCAGGAGGACUGCUUGAAGCCAGGAGUUUGAGGCCAGCCUGGGCAACAUAGUGAGACCCCGUGUCUACAAAAAGUAAACAUAUAUAUAUAUAUAUUUUUUAAAGUGGAGCAGUUCAGUGCAGAGUCUUUUUUGAACAAACGUGAAAUAGUUGUCUUUUUUUUUUUUUUUUGAGAUGGAGUUUUCACUCUUGUUACUCAGGCUGGAGUGCAAUGGCGUGAUCUCGGCUCACCAGAACCUCCGCCUCCUGGGUUCAAACAAUUCUCCUGCCUCAGCCUCCCAGGUAGCUGGGAUUACAGGCAUGCACCACCCAGCCCGGAUAAUUUUGUAUUUUUAGUAGAGAUGGGGUUUCACCAUGUUGGUCAAGCUGGUCUUGAACUCCCGACCUCUGCUGAUCCGUAUGCCUCGGCCUCCCAAAGUGCUGGGAUUACAUGCGUGAGCCACUGUGCCCGACAAUAGAUGUCUUUUAAUUUUCUGGAGGAAAAAGCAAAGCAAAAGAAGCAGUGGAUAUUUUAAGACUAAAAAGGAAAACAAAAAAAGGAGAUAGAGCAGGCCGGGUGUGGUGGCUCAACGUCUGUAAUCCCAGCACUUUGGGAGGCCGAGGCAGGUGGAUGAUCUGAGGUCAGGAGUUCAAGACCAGCCUGACCAACAUGGUGAAACCCCGUCUCAAAAUACAAAAAAUUAGCUGGGUGUGGUGGCGGGAGCCUGUAAUCCCAGCUACUUGGGAGGCUGAGGCAGGAGAAUUGCUUGAACCCAGGAGGUGGAAGUUGCAGUGAGCCGAGAUCGCGCCAUUGCACUCCAGCCUGGGCGACAAGUAAAAAACACCAUCUCAAAAAAAAAAGGAGAUAGAGCAAGAAACAAUAAGAAAAUAGUUGGGUGCAGUGGCUAUGUGGUGGCACUAUAAGAGGCUGAGGCGGGCAGAUCACCUGAGGUCAGGAGUUGGAGACCAGCCUGGGCAACAUAGCGAGACCCCUAUCUCUACAAAAAAUUUGAAAUAUGAAAAAUUAGCCAGGUGUAGUGGUGUGCGCCUGUGGUACCAGCUACUCAAGAGGCUGAGGCAGGGAAGAUUGCUUGAGCCCGGGAGUUUGAGGCUAUAGUGAGCUGUGAUCAUGCCACUGCACUCCAGCCUGGGCAAUAGUGUGAGACUCUGUCUCAAAAGAAAGAAAAUGGCCAGGCGUGGUGGCUCACACCUGUAAUCCCAGCACUUUGGGAGGCUGAGGCAGUCAGAUCAUGAGGCCCGUUUGAAACCAGCCUGGCCAACAUGGUGAAACCCCGUCUCUACUAAAAAUACAAAAAUUAGCCAGGCGUGGUGGCAUGCACCUGUAAUCCCAGCUACUUGGGGGUCUGAGGCAGAAGAAUUGCUUGAAACCAGGAGGCAGAGGUUGCAGUGAGCCGAGAUCGUGUCACUGCGCUCUAGUCUGGGCGACAGAGCAAGACUCCGUCUUGGAAAAAAAGUAAAAAAAAUAAAAUGUAUA